rnacentral:lncRNA from 1 species
ACUGUUUGGAAUAUCUGUUUCACAUGUGACGACGAACAUGUUCCAGUUGUCGUAACCAUAAUACCUUCAUCUUUUACUCGAAUGUGAACUUCCAAAUAAAACCAAAUCACCCGGUUUGUAAUUUCGCGAAUAACACGACGGGUGCCACACAUUGAGCAGAAUCUCCUUACCUUUCUGGGGAACCCGAGAUCACCCCGAUGGAUUUAAAUUACCCAGUCAUACCGAUCUAUUGAGUCAGCCAAUUGAAACUGUUUUUUAAGCCACCGCAACUUUACCGCAACUGAAAGUUGG